GGUGGGUUGGCUCGGUGGUUAGAGCGUAGGUCUCGUAAACGGAAGGUUGCGGGAUCGAAUCCCGAUGCUAGAG
rnacentral:tRNA from 1 species